AAGAGUACGUGAAACCGUUCAGAGGUAAACGGAUGGGACCGCAACCUCCCCCGUGGAAUUCAACCCUUGGCCUGGCGGUCACGACGGGUUCCGGAUCGCAAGACCGGGCCCGGCGCGAGCCGUCGGUCGGGGGCGCAUUUUUCCGGGGGUGAGCCACGACCGGUUCGUCGUCGGUCAGAAGCCCGUCGGGAAGGUAGCCUCCCUCGGGAGGUGUUAUAGCCCGGCGGCGUGUUGGCCCGGUGACGGACUGAGGGACGCCCGCCGCUGUAGGGGCCCCUGGACCGCCUGCCCGUUCGACUGGGAGGGACUGUUCUCAGUGCCUCUCGACCGCGGGUUUGCGCGUCCGGGGUCUACCCCUGCCGCUCUCAGGGUCUGUGGCUGCUCGGUCGGCUCCCUAUCCGACCCGUCUUGAAACACGGACCAAGGAGUCUAACAUGUGUGCGAGUCAUGGGGUUCUACGAAACCUAAAGACGCAAUGAAAGUGAAGGCUUUCUAUUUGGUUGGCCUAGGUCGGAUCCCUUCCCUCGGGAGGGGCGCAAGACUGGCCCGUCUCGGAGGCAUUGUUCUCGAGGCGGAGCAAGAGUACACACGUUGGGACCCGAAAGAUGGUGAACUAUGCCUGAGUAGGACGAAGCCAGAGGAAACUCUGGUGGAGGUCCGUAGCGAUUCUGACGUGCAAAUCGAUCGUCAAACCUGGGUAUAGGGGCGAAAGACUAAUCGAACCAUCUAGUAGCUGGUUCCCU
rnacentral:rRNA from 2 species